GCUCUCUUAGUAUUAAGUAGUACCACUGACUUCCAAUCAGCUAGUUUCGGCACGGACCCGAAAGAGAGCA
rnacentral:tRNA from 1 species